rnacentral:lncRNA from 1 species
GUGUUUACAAACUUUUAUAUACUUGGGUGGUAUUCUACUGAUGCCGAUGCGGAAGAAUCGGAUAUGCUUAUACACAAAGCUAUUAUUAGUAUAAUACCAAGGGACUGAAUUGCAGAAAUAAUUCAUUCUUGGGCUUGCAAGUUGAACAGAUACGAAGAAAGACACCGUGUUAUCGUCAAUAAGGUGAUGAGAUUGGGCAAAACAAUGUUACUCUUGUUAUACGCGAUAAAACAAGAGUGAAGAUGAUGGAAGUGAGUAGGAAAUCUGGGCAUGUUACACAAGCAAAUGGUGAAGGAUCGUUAGUGUUCACUCACGUAGUUUAAUGGAGUAUUGUAUUUCUGUUAGUGUUU